GGCAAUAUGGAAUUGCAGGAAUGACUUGGUGUUUAAUAGACAACACGAUUUUCACUUCUUGCAGGUUAUUCACAGGGCUACCGCACUGAUCCGCACUUGGUCAUCACUCACUCCUGUGGACGCCAGGGAGCUUAUGGUUACUGGGUGUGUCCGAUGGGAGAUGGUAGCACAUGGUAUCUUCAACCGGUUUGGAUGGCGUCAUGUUAAUAGGAUAGGUGUUUACUCAUCUAUAUUUCUACCAUCUCCGGCUUGGGCAUGAGUGAUGCCUUGUAUCGUUGAUUUUCUCUUUGCUUCAGACUUAUUGUACUCGAUGGAGACUUAUUUUGGUUUAUAAUGUAUGUCCGUAUGCAUCUCUCGAUGCAGAGGCCGGGGCUCAG
rnacentral:lncRNA from 1 species